GACGAACGCUGGCGGCGCGCUUAACACAUGCAAGUCGAACGGAAAGGCCUGCUUUCCCUUGUGGAUUGCGGGUACUCGAGUGGCGAACGGGUGAGUAACACGUGAGUGAUCUGCCCCCAACUUGGGUAUAAGCCUGGGAAACUGGGUCUAAUUCCCGAUAGGACUGCAGGGUGGUGCCUGUGGUGGAAAACGAUUUUCUAGUGGUUGGGGAUGAGCUCGCGGCCUAUCAGCUUGUUGGUGGGGUAAUGGCCUACCAAGGCGGCGACGGGUAGCCGGCCUGAGAGGGUGGACGGCCACAUUGGGACUGGGAUACGGCCCAGACUCCUACGGGAGGCAGCAGUGGGGAAUAUUGCACAAUGGGCGGAAGCCUGAUGCAGCGACGCCGCGUGGGGGAUGACGGCCUUCGGGUUGUAAACUCCUUUCGACCGAGAGGAAGCCACCUGGUUGGAAGGGUGGUGACGGUAGUGGUAGAAGAAGCACCGGCUAACUACGUG
rnacentral:rRNA from 1 species